AAAGGGCCGGGAAAGACCGGUGCCAGCCGCCGCGGUAACGCCGGCGGCUCGAGUGGUAACCGCUAUUAUUGGGUCUAAAGGGUCUGUAGCCGGCCGACUAAGUCUCUUGGGAAAUCUGGCAUCUCAAGUGUCAGGCUGCCAGGGGAUACUGGUCGGCUUGGGACCGGGACAGGUGAGAGGUACAUCGGGGGAAUGACUAA
rnacentral:rRNA from 1 species